rnacentral:lncRNA from 1 species
AAGGCAGCCAUGCUGGAGCAAAGAAACCGGAAGUGGGCGUGGCUCCGGUAGCCACGCAGGACGCUGCCGGGGAAAACCGGAAGCCGACAUCUUGAAUGUGGUUUUCAAUCGCGGGUCCCACCAUCUUGGGUCAUCGUACGGAAGUGAGAGUUCGCUGCCGGCUGUAUGUUCUGAACAGGAGGAACUGUCCCGCGCGUGCAUCUUACAACCUCCGAGGUGGUCGAGAUAAAUGCGACCGAAUCCUUUUCAGCUGUUUCCAAGACCUUUCCUGGACGUCCUCCAGCCUUUGGAAAUUUAGGGUAACUCAGAAGUGUCGCAUCCAACGAACCUCAUUGUGCAGCCUUCUGCAUCAUUUUAACGUUUGUUUUCUGAUCAUGGAACCCGUGGAGGUCGGAAGAGGUCAUCAGGUCCUCUGGAACUGGAGUUACAGUGGUUUUGAGCUGCUAUGUGAGUGCUAGGAAUUGAACCCUGGUCUUCUGCAAGAGCAGUAAACAUCCUUAACUGCUGAGCUGUCUCUCGAGUCCACCAGCCUUUAAACUUUAUGGAACAGUCGAGUCUGGCAUCUGCACAGCCCUCUUGAAUGACUUAUCCAGCCUUGUCAACCACAGGAAGGUGGCUCUGUCUUGUCAUACCGAAUAUGUUCUGCACUUCUGAGAACAAGAGCUAUCAAACUUCUGCUAAAUCGGUAGUAGAUCAAUUCCACUAAAUGGCCCAGCUUCAAAAUAAGUCAGUAAUGACCCUGAGGAUACCUUCUUUCUUGCCUACCCACUGGGACCUCUGCCUCCCAGGUGCUGGGAUUAAAGGCGUGUGCGUCCUGGAACAUCUGUUUUUGUUAUUUCUUUAAAAAUCUACUGUGUGUGUGCACAUGUGCCCGAGCGCAUGCACGUGUGCCAUCAUUAUGCAUGAGCCCUUGGAUAUGAGAAGAAGGUAUCCGGUCCUUUGGAACUGGAGUUACAGGUGGUCGGGAGCCAGCAUGUGGGGGCUGGGAAAUGAACCCUGGUCCUCCGCAGCAUCGGUCAGUAAGCUCUCUGAACACCCGAGCUGUCUAUUUUAGCACCAACUGUGACAUCUCUUAAAGUGUGUGCCUUUUCAUCUGGUUUGUCUUAAAG